GGAUGUGAGGGUGAUCUGGCUGCAACAUCUGUCACCCUAUUGAUUGCCAGGGCUGAUUCGGCUCGUCUGGUUGGCUAGGUGUGUAUCCCCCCCCCCCCGCCCCUUCCCUCAGUGCUCUGCGUGUGUCCCUCCGAAAGCUGUGUGCUCAGUCAAGGAUAUACAAGUAGACGUGCUCCCCUGCUAGAACCUCCAAACAGGCUCUCAAGAAUCAGUCUAUAAGGCCGGCGCCGCGGCUCACUAGGCUAAUCCUCUGCCUUGUGGCGCUGGCACACCAGGUUCUAGU
rnacentral:snRNA from 1 species